GAGGACAGACAGGUCUGAGGAGCAGAGCAGGAGCUCUGGGAAGGAGAAGAGCAAUAUGAAGAUGGAGUGUAAGAUGAGGCCAGGUAAGGAAAAGAAGUCACGGGGAUGGAGUGCAGCCCUGAGGUGAGUUGGAAAGUGAUCGAGAGCAGUGACAGCGUGAAUCCUGUUGAUGCCAGGCAAGAGCUGCCCAACUGGAACGAGAGUAACCGUCUCUGUCGUUGGAAUGGAGCUUUUAAUUGACAUUUGCUGGAUUCAAAUGGCUGACUUGCAACACCAGUUUUGACAUAGUUCUGCAUAUUUUAUUACAAUUUGACCAGUAUUCAAGGAUUCAAUUCCUUUAUAGGAGGUUUUAGAGGUCAUGCUUAUUUAUUUGAUGUUAUUUUAUCAUUCUGCUGUAGCACACUUUUUUGAUAAAAUGUUGAAAUUAUUAA